GCUUUUGAGACAGCCCUGGGGCAGUGCUCCUGGCAUGAGAACACAGGGCCAGAAGAAGAGCGGCUUUCCGAAAUCCAUUUUGCACCUGGGGCUUAGGGAGGACUCUGUGUUCUUGUUUUAAAGGCAUUUUGGGAGAGUGUUAUUUGGCUUGCUACGGGAGUGAGACGAAAAAAUAUUUUGAAAAUGGGAUGUGCAGUGAGACAUACUUUUAUGGAGUGAGAACAGGGAAGAAAUAGGAGAGAUGAUG
rnacentral:lncRNA from 1 species